rnacentral:rRNA from 1 species
AGAGUUUGAUCAUGGCUCAGAGUGAACGCUGGCGGCAGGCCUAACACAUGCAAGUCGAGCGGCAGCGGGUCCUUCGGGAUGCCGGCGAGCGGCGGACGGGUGAGGAAUGCAUCGGAAUCUGCCUCUUUGUGGGGGAUAACGUAGGGAAACUUACGCUAAUACCGCAUACGUCCUACGGGAGAAAGUGGGGGACCUUCGGGCCUCACGCAGAGAGAUGAGCCGAUGCCGGAUUAGCUAGUUGGCGGGGUAAAGGCCCACCAAGGCGACGAUCCGUAGCUGGUCUGAGAGGAUGAUCAGCCACACUGGAACUGAGACACGGUCCAGACUCCUACGGGAGGCAGCAGUGGGGAAUAUUGGACAAUGGGCGCAAGCCUGAUCCAGCCAUGCCGCGUGAGUGAAGAAGGCCUUCGGGUUGUAAAGCUCUUUUGUCCGGAAAGAAAUCCUGUCGGCUAAUACCCGGCGGGGAUGACGGUACCGGAAGAAUAAGCACCGGCUAACUUCGUGCCAGCAGCCGCGGUAAUACGAAGGGUGCAAGCGUUACUCGGAAUUACUGGGCGUAAAGCGUGCGUAGGUGGUUCGUUAAGUCUGAUGUG